rnacentral:lncRNA from 1 species
UUCGGUCAAAAUAGGACAAAUCAUGCGAAGGAUGUAACGAGCAAUUUUAUAAAAUAAAUUUGUCGUAAUCUUUUACGGUUGCGAAGGAGUAGUGGACACAAAGAAAACAGUGUUCGGGGAGGUAACUCUUACAAAGAAAAGUAUUUGGUUACGCAGGGUAAAUUUCAAAAGCGCAUAAACUGUUCGAUAUCAUAUACCAAAUAUCUAAGCGAU